UACGUAGGGCGCAAGCGUUAUCCGGAAUUAUUGGGCGUAAAGAGCUCGUAGGCGGUUUGUCGCGUCUGCCGUGAAAGUCCGGGGCUCAACUCCGGAUCUGCGGUGGGUACGGGCAGACUAGAGUGAUGUAGGGGAGACUGGAAUUCCUGGUGUAGCGGUGAAAUGCGUAGAUAUCGGAAGGAACAUCAGUGGCGAAAGCGACUUCCUGGACCAGUACCGACGUCAGGCACGAAAGCGUGGGGAGCAAACAGGA
rnacentral:rRNA from 1 species